rnacentral:rRNA from 1 species
UCAGCUCGUGUCGUGAGAUGUCAGGUUAAGUCCUAUAACGAGCGCAACCCCUGUUGUUAGUUGCCAGCGAGUCAUGUCGGGAACUCUAACAAGACUGCCAGUGUAAACUGUGAGGAAGGUGGGGAUGACGUCAAAUCAUCACGGCCCUUACGUCCUGGGCCACACACGUGCUACAAUGGGCUGCAAAGUAA